rnacentral:rRNA from 1 species
AACGAACGCUGGCGGCAUGCCUAACACAUGCAAGUCGAACGAGACCUUCGGGUCUAGUGGCGCACGGGUGCGUAACGCGUGGGAACCUUCCCUUAGGUUCGGAAUAACUCCCCGCAAGGGUUGCUAAUACCGGAUACUGUCUUCGGACCAAAGAUUUAUCGCCUUUGGAUGGGCCCGCGUUGGAUUAGCUAGUUGGUAGGGUAAAAGCCUACCAAGGCGACGAUCCAUAGCUGGUCUGAGAGGAUGAUCAGACACACUGGGACUGAGACACGGCCCAGACUCCGACGGGAGGGAGCAGUGGGGAAUAUUAGACGAUGGGCGAAAGUCUGAUCCAGCAAUGCCGCGUGAGUGAUGAAGGCCUUAGGGUUGUAAAGCUCUUUUACCCGGGAUGAUAAUGACAGUACCGGGAGAAUAAGCUCCGGCUAACUCCGUG